UACGAAGGGGGCUAGCGUUGCUCGGAAUUACUGGGCGUAAAGGGCGCGUAGGCGGCCUGCUAAGUCGAACGUGAAAUCCCCGAGCUCAACUCGGGAACUGCGUCCGAUACUGGCAGGCUUGAAUCCGGGAGAGGGAUGCGGAAUUCCAGGUGUAGCGGUGAAAUGCGUAGAUAUCUGGAGGAACACCGGUGGCGAAGGCGGGUCUCUGGGCCGAUACUGACGCUGAGGAGCGAAAGCGUGGGGAGCAAACAGG
rnacentral:rRNA from 1 species